rnacentral:ncRNA from 2 species
CUCUUAUUAAGAGAGGUGGAGGGAAAGUGCCCUAUGAAGCCCGGCAACCGUCAUAUUUAUGAAAUGGUGCCAAAUCACUCGAAGCGCAUGCUUUGAAAGAUGAGAG